CCUACGGGAGGCAGCAGUAGGGAAUCUUCCGCAAUGGACGAAAGUCUGACGGAGCAAUGCCGCGUGAGUGAAGAAGGUUUUCGGAUCGUAAAACUCUGUUGUUAGAGAAGAACAAGGAUGAGAGUAACUGCUCAUCCCCUGACGGUAUCUAACCAGAAAGCCACGGCUAACUACGUGCCAGCAGCCGCGGUAAUACGUAGGUGGCAAGCGUUGUCCGGAUUUAUUGGGCGUAAAGCGAGCGCAGGCGGUUCUUUAAGUCUGAUGUGAAAGCCCCCGGCUCAACCGGGGAGGGUCAUUGGAAACUGGAGAACUUGAGUGCAGAAGAGGAGAGUGGAAUUCCACGUGUAGCGGUGAAAUGCGUAGAUAUGUGGAGGAACACCAGUGGCGAAGGCGACUCUCUGGUCUGUAACUGACGCUGAGGCUCGAAAGCGUGGGGAGCAAACAGGAUUAGAUACCCUGGUAGUCCACGCCGUAAACGAUGAGUGCUAAGUGUUGGAGGGUUUCCGCCCUUCAGUGCUGCAGCUAACGCAUUAAGCACUCCGCCUGGGGAGUACGACCGCAAGGUUGAAACUCAAAGGAAUUGACGG
rnacentral:rRNA from 1 species